rnacentral:lncRNA from 1 species
ACCGAUUAUUUGGUCUUUAACCACCAAACCUCCAACCUUCACUGAUUAAAGCUCUGAACUUAGGGUUCAUAGUACGUUCUCCUCCUUCGAGCUCUCACACUAAGGGUUAUUUUCGUUGCAUCAUCAGUUUGUUACCAUGUUUUGCUCCAUAUUCCAUGGAUUCUCAUCAAUCCGCCAUGACCAGGCGUCGUCAUCUCCCUUACAAGGCAAC